UACGGGGGGGAGCAAGCGUUGUUCGGAUUUACUGGGCGUAAAGGGCGCGUAGGCGGUCGUGACAAGUCACUUGUGAAAUCUCCGGGCUUAACUCGGAACGGUCAAGUGAUACUGUCGGACUAGAGUACAGAAGGGGCAACUGGAAUUCUUGGUGUAGCGGUGAAAUGCGUAGAUAUCAAGAGGAACACCUGCGGCGAAGGCGGGUUGCUGGGCCGACACUGACGCUGAGGCGCGAAAGCUAGGGGAGCGAACGGG
rnacentral:rRNA from 1 species